ensembl:lncRNA
CUGGAGGUCUCUCACAAGUCCACGCAUUUUCUUCCAGCGUGGUGCUCCUCACACCUGCUUCAAGAGGGCACAUGCCAGAGAAAAGAACGAGGAGACUUCUUCAUCUGAAUACUUGCAUCUCCAGCAGGAAGCAGAUAUGCUCACUGCAGGCCAGCAGAGCAAGAAAUGCUGCACGCGGAGCACCCAAGUCUCAGAGAGGAAGAGUGGGAAUGUAACCAGGUCCUGAUCUCAGCAGGAGCUGAGAGCAAUGUGAAGUGCUUUGCUGGGUGGGGUGUAAGACAUGAUGUUCCCAGCUGGCAACUGAUGGUAACUUAAUACCCCCAGAUGGAGGCUGGGGGUGAUACGAUAUUCCCAGCUGGUAGCCAAGGC